rnacentral:rRNA from 1 species
AGUCGAGGGGCAGCGGGAUUGAAGCUUGCUUCAAUUGCCGGCGACCGGCGCACGGGUGAGUAACGCGUAUCCAACCUUCCGUACACUCAGGGAUAGCCUUUCGAAAGAAAGAUUAAUACCUGAUGGUAUGAUGAGAUUGCAUGAUAGCAUCAUUAAAGAUUCAUCGGUGUACGAUGGGGAUGCGUUCCAUUAGGUAGUAGGCGGGGUAACGGCCCACCUAGCCUACGAUGGAUAGGGGUUCUGAGAGGAAGGUCCCCCACAUUGGAACUGAGACACGGUCCAAACUCCUACGGGAGGCAGCAGUGAGGAAUAUUGGUCAAUGGACGAGAGUCUGAACCAGCCAAGUAGCGUGAAGGAUGAAGGUCCUACGGAUUGUAAACUUCUUUUAUAAGGGAAUAAAACCUCCCACGUGUGGGAGCUUGUAUGUACCUUAUGAAUAAGCAUCGGCUAACUCCGUGCCAGCAGCCGCGGUAAUACGGAGGAUGCGAGCGUUAUCCGGAUUUAUUGGGUUUAAAGGGAGCGCAGACGGGUCGUUAAGUCAGCUGUGAAAGUUUGGGGCUCAACCUUAAAAUUGCAGUUGAUACUGGCGUCCUUGAGUGCGGUUGAGGUGUGCGGAAUUCGUGGUGUAGCGGUGAAAUGCUUAGAUAUCACGAAGAGCUCCGAUUGCGAAGGCAGCACACUAA